rnacentral:tRNA from 1 species
GGAUGGGUGGCCGAGUGGUUUAAGGCGCCGCACUUGAAAUGCGGUGGGCUAAAAGCCCCGUGGGUUCGAAUCCUACCCCAUCCGCCA